rnacentral:rRNA from 1 species
GAUAAAAUUUCUCUUCUUUUCCUUUCUUUGAGGGAAUUGAAGGAAUCCACUGUGAUCUGUUUCGAGCUUUUUCAUUUGAAAAAGCUACAACCCGUUUUUUUCUUUGGAAACAAACGGGUGUGGGGCCUUUUAGGUCUCGCAAUUCAAUAUACUUUAUGAAAUUCUUGAUUGAUUCUUAAUUGAAACAAAAAACAACUUUCAACAAUGGAUCUCUCGGCUUACGCAUCGAUGAAGAACGCAGCGAAUCGCGAUAUGUAAUGUGAUCUGCAUUUAGUGAAUCAUCGAAUCUUUGAACGCAUCUUGCGCCCAAGGGUAAUCCUUUGGGCACGCCUGUUUCAGUGUUAUGUUAAACCCAAAAUCUCUUUUUUGGUGAUGUAACGUUGGGCUUGCCAAUCAUUUUUUUGAUCGGUCUUGCUUGGAAUGAUAUCAAUUCCAGUCGGAUCACCUUAUUCUUCAGAUCAGGCUUUGGUAGACUACCGAAAGUCGCGUUUGAACGGAUUUAGGCCCGAAUUGAUGGGAUUUUUAAACAUUUUCAAUAUUUAACCUGAAAUCAGGCGGGACUACCCGCUGAACUUAAGCAUAUCAAUAAGCGGAGGAAAAGAAAAUAACAAUGAUUCCCCUAGUAACGGCGAGUGAAGAGGGAAAAGCUCAAGUUUGGAAGCUUCGUGGCAUAGCUACGACGCGUUGUAAACUGAAGUUUUUUGGGUGAUUGGGCGACCGGAUAAAUAAGUCCUUUGGAAAGGGGCAACAUAGAGGGUGACAUUCCCGUCUUUGGUCCGAGUCAGUGCAGUCGCUGCCCAGGAAACGACGAGUCAGGUUGUUUGGGAAUGCAGCCUAAAAUGGGAGGUAAAUCUCUCCUAAAGCUAAAUACUGGCGUAAGACCGAUAGCGAACAAGUACCGUGAGGGAAAGAUGAAAAGGACUUUGAAAAGAGGGUCAAAUAGUACGUGAAAUUGUUGAAAGGGAACCGUAUGAAAGUAGACUGGCUUGGUGAUGAUCAAUGUGUGUUUCGGCACGCAUGCACUCAUUGCCUUAGCCAGCCAGCGGCAGUUUUUGCUAAAGGAAGAAAAUCAGGGGAAUGUAGCUUCGAUUUCGGUUGAAGUGUUAUAGCUCCUGGUAAAAUACUUUGGCAGAGACUGAGGCUAGCAGCGGAUCUUUGGGAACUUUGCGCGCUUGUCGUCCA